UACAGAGGGUGCAAGCGUUAAUCGGAGUUACUGGGCGUAAAGGGCGCGUAGGUGGAUAUUUGAGUCGGAUGUGAAAUCCCUGGGCUUAACCUAGGAAUUGCAUUCGAUACUGGAUAUCUAGAGUAUGGUAGAGGAAAGUGGAAUUCCCGGUGUAGCAGUGAAAUGCGUAGAUAUCGGGAAGAACAUCAGUGGCGAAGGCGGCUUUCUGGACCAAUUACUGACACUGAGGCGCGAAAGCGUGGGGA
rnacentral:rRNA from 1 species